rnacentral:lncRNA from 1 species
AAUUAUGGCCCUACAUUCUUAUAAGGGUUAAUUGCAUACAGGUCCCCGCAUAUAUAAUGAAUUUUUAAAUAUAUACCUUUAAAGUUCAAAUUUUAUAAGUUAUUUUAGCAAAAAUUUUAAUGUUUUCGGGUAUGACCCUCUGAUUUGUUACGGUUAGAAAACCAUUAGAAAACUACUUAUAUUUUCAGUUUUACUAUCAUAAGUAUGUUCUUCAAAAUAUUAUAACAGUGUAAUAUAAGAGGGAUAAAAAUGUCAAAAAUUAAUCACGGUAAAAUAUUUAACCAAUGGUUAACUAAACUUUUCUAAUCGAUUCUAACGACAGAGACAUAUAUGAAAAUAUUAGAACUUUUGCAGAAAUAAUUUAUAAAUAUUAAACUUUAUAGGGAUAAAUNUUUUAUUACAAUAAAAUAUAGGAUAAAUUAUGGUAUGAUUUAUUUUAGAAUAAAAAAUAUAUAUAAAUUCAAAAUCAAGCUUGAUCACUAACUUGAGAGUUAGUAGUCAAUCCAUAAGUAACAUAUUAUAAUAAAAUAAUUUA